UGGCUCAGACGGUAAAGCAUCUGCCUGCAAUGCAGGAGACCCAGGUUCGAUCCCUGG
rnacentral:tRNA from 1 species